GCUGCUACGUUGGGCUCCCAGUUGGGCCACGCGAGGGGGAAGUUGGGCCGAGCGCGGGGGGAGGGGCCAGGGGGCUGGGUGGGCCGAAAGGCCACCACAUAAGCCUUCUCCUCUCUUUUUUUUUCUUUUUCAAAUCUUUUUUCAAAGGGAGCUUUUGAGCAUAAACAAAUAAAAUAAAAUCAGAAACAUCAGCACAAAAAUACCAUGCUCCAGCAUGAAUGCAAAACAUGUUUCUAAACUUAUGAUGAAUUUUAAUUUCCACAAAAUUAUUUAUUUGCUAGAUUGCUCACAAAAAUACUUAAAUAAAUCAAAUUAAUUCCUAUUAAUUGAAAUCAAAUUUUUGGGUGUUACAAAUUCUACCCCCCUUAAAAGAAUCUCAUCCUCGAGAUUGAACAGUGCUUACUCAAAUAACUGCGGGUAUGAUUUUCUCAGAUCAUCCUCUCUUUCCCAAGUUGCCUCUGCUUCUGAAUACCGAUUUUAUUGCACUUUGCACAUUUUAAUAAUCCGACUUCUAGUGACUCUUUCAACCGUCUCCAAUAUUUUAACAGGAUACUCUUCAUAUGUGAGAUCACCUUUGACAGAAAGCUCUUCUAAAGGAAUCUACUCCUUAGGUACACGCAAGCACUUCUUAAGUUGCAACCCAUGGAACACAUCAUGCACACCAGAUAA
rnacentral:lncRNA from 1 species